AAUAUCAACAACAUUGAUAACAUGCCUUUGGCAUUGAGCAUUAAGUCUCCAUGAGGUCUAGCCAGAGGAAAAGAAAUAAUGACAGUGUACAACCACACUACUACCGGAAAAGCACUGCACGUGUCUUGCUGCUCCUAGAUUAGAAGGACUAUCUCUGCAUGUGAAGAUCAUGUCUGAGUGAACCAAACAGUCCUCACUAUUUUAUCCUUUUAGUGUACGUCUUUAGGCUAGCUCUUAGAACAUCAAGAGUUUGCAGUUUGGAUACCUGAAGGCUUCUGGAGGAGAUGGAAGUGGUGUGGUUUGAGGUUGGUAACAAGCAAAGAGAGGCAGCAGAAGUGAAGAGGUGGCUUAAAAGGAAUGGAAAUCUUAAAGAAGAGUUUGCCAAGAUGGAGCGGGAAGAAAUUACAUAUGAGAAUAUGGGUGCCCUUUGAGGAUGCUGUAAGCAGGGUGGUUUGGGGGUGGAAAUAGAGAUGGGGUUUUGCAAGAAGAGAGUGAUGCAGGCAAGCAGAUGGACUAAUUGCUAAGAAGAGGAAGGCCCUAGAUGAAGAUGGGGGACCAAACUAGCAUGGGUAUUUUGGGCGAGCUGCCAAGAAAUAAUUUGGGGCAUUUUCAUAAGACUUUGGUAACCUGAAGAACUAUUUAUUUUUAGGUAGAUCAACUAUGUCUCCUGAUCUUGGAAAAGUGGCCUUAUGUAGGAGAUGUCUAAUGGGGCCCAGCAGCAUGCUCUUCUCUGGCCACCAAAGCCAGCUGCUCCACAAGUGUCCCCUGUGUAAUACUCAUGCUGAACAAAUGAAAGGAUGAGUCGCAAGUGCUAAACACAGAGUUGUUUUUGGAGCUCACUAAUAAUUAAAUAGAGAUACAUACUGGACACCCAAUUAUAGCUGUCCAGAGAGUUGGAAAAUUGGUUGCUGUGGGGGAAAAAAACCACACAUUUGGUGUCAUAAAUGUUAUUAGCCCUGAGCUAACUGCUGCCAAUCUCCCUCUUUUUGCUGAGGAAGACUGGCUCUGAGCUAACAUCCGUGCCCAUCUUCCUCUACUUUAUAUGUGGGACACCUUCCACAGCAUGGCUUUCCAAGUGGUGCCAUGUCCGCAGCCGGGAUCCAAACCAGCGAACCCCAGGCCGCUGAAGUGGAAUAUGUGAACUUAACCACCGCACCACCGGGCCGGCCCUAACGCUUGCUUUUGACAGCUAUUGCUGCAAAACAAACCACCACAAAACUCAGUGGUUUAAAACAGCAAUUAUUUGUUAUUGCUUAUAUAUCUGCUGGUAGGCCUAGGGUCAAGUGAUGUAGGUUAAGUUCUCCUGGGUGGCUCUCCUCUAUGCAAUGGUUCUGGCUGGAGUUGACUUUACUGGGGUCUAGUCUAUGUGUGUUUAUUCAGAGGCACAGACCAGAGUGUGGGUGAGCAGCAGUUACACAGAGGAUUUCUGCUCAUGGAGAUGGCAAAAAUGCAUGAGGGCUAGGAGAAAAACUGAAGACUCUAAGGCUUAGCCUUGAAAAUAUCAUACAUUUGGUUCUUGUUUAUUCUAUUGGCCAAAGCAAGUCAUAAGGCCAAACCCAAAGUCAAGAGGGAGAGCAAUAUACUCCACAAAUUUAAUGGGAGGAAUUGCAAAGUCUCUUGGCAAAGAGUGUGGAUACAGUGAGACGUCAAGAAUUGCAGCCAUUCAUGUAAUCUAUCACAACAGAUUUUUUUUCCUUUUUUUGUCAUUCUAGUUAUGGUAUAGUGAUAAAAUAUUGUGUUUUUAAUUUACAUUUCUCUGAUGACAAAUGAAGUUGAGAACUUUUUUGAUAUAUUUUUGUCCAUCUGUAUACCUUUGUAAAGGGUUGUUCCAGAUCCUUUGCCCAUUUAAAAGCUUGAGUUGUCUCCCUUUUUCUUACUGAUAUGUAGGAUUUUUAAUAAAAA
rnacentral:lncRNA from 1 species